UACGGAGGGGCUAGCGUUGUUCGGAAUUACUGGGCGUAAAGCGCGCGUAGGCGGACCUGCAAGUCGGGGGUGAAAGCCCGAGGCUCAACCUCGGAACUGCCUUCGAUACUGCGGGUCUCGAGUCCGGGAGAGGUGAGUGGAAUUCCUAGUGUAGAGGUGAAAUUCGUAGAGGAUCGGGAGGAACACCAGUGGCGAAGGCGGCUCGCUGGGCCGGUCCUGACACUGAUGCGCGAAGGCGUGGGGAGCGAACGGG
rnacentral:rRNA from 1 species